rnacentral:rRNA from 1 species
CCUACGGGUGGCAGCAGUGAGGAAUAUUGGUCAAUGGACGGGAGUCUGAACCAGCCAAGUAGCGUGAAGGAUGACUGCCCUAUGGGUUGUAAACUUCUUUUAUAUGGGAAUAAAAUGUUCCACGUGUGGGAUUUUGUAUGUACCAUAUGAAUAAGGAUCGGCUAACUCCGUGCCAGCAGCCGCGGUAAUACGGAGGAUCCGGGCGUUAUCCGGAUUUAUUGGGUUUAAAGGGAGCGUAGGUGGAUUGUUAAGUCAGUUGUGAAAGUUUGCGGCUCAACCGUAAAAUUGCAGUUGAAACUGGCAGUCUUGAGUACAGUAGAGGUGGGCGGAAUUCGUGGUGUAGCGGUGAAAUGCUUAGAUAUCACGAAGAACUCCGAUUGCGAAGGCAGCUUACUGGACUGCAACUGACACUGAGGCUCGAAAGUGUGGGUAUCAAACAGGAUUAGAUACCCCUGUAGUC